GACGAACGCUGGCGGCGUGCUUAACACAUGCAAGUCGAACGGUAAGGCCCUUCGGGGUACACGAGUGGCGAACGGGUGAGUAACACGUGGGUGAUCUGCCCUGCACUUCGGGAUAAGCCUGGGAAACUGGGUCUAAUACCGGAUAGGACCACUGCCUGCAUGGGUGGUGGUGGAAAGCUUUUGCGGUGUGGGAUGGGCCCGCGGCCUAUCAGCUUGUUGUUGGGGUGAUGGCCUACCAAGGCGACGACGGGUAGCCGGCCUGAGAGGGUGACCGGCCACACUGGGACUGGGAUACUGCCCAGACUCCUACGGGAGGCAGCAGUGGGGAAUAUUGCGCAAUGGGCGCAAGCCUGAUGCAGCGACGCCGCGUGAGGGAUGACGGCCUUCGGGUUGUAAACCUCUUUCAGCACCGACGAAGCGCAAGUGACGGUAGGUGCAGAAGAAGGACCGGCCAACUACGUGCCAGCCGCCGCCGUAA
rnacentral:rRNA from 1 species